ensembl:lincRNA
CAAGCUUUGUUUUCUUUCCUCCUAUUUAGGAAUAAUUACAGGUUGCAGGAAGCUGUACCAUGGUGCAGAAAGGUCUUGUGUUCUAUCACCCAGCUUCCCCCGGCAACGAUUUUUUACUUGAUGAGUGUGAAGGCAUUCCUGGACGGUGAGAAGCACCCAGCCACCUGGGAAUCCUGUCCCAGCGUUCCUGUCACCUUCCAUCCAGCAGAGGGCCACGACUCCUGCCUGUGGGUCCAGAGUCUCCCACACCAAGCUGACAUACAGAGGACACCCGAGUCGUUUCUAUUUCCUUACUCAUGAGGGAAACACGUGGCCGUCCUUCCACGCAGCACUCAGGUCUUUUGCUGAAUACGGUACCUUGUAGCCCAAGCCCUUAGGGAAAUGUUUGUCUGCAGUGAAAGUUAUUUUGUUGAUUUUUAGUAGGAUUUGGCUGGGUGACUUACAGAGCCAGCCUGGGAAUGGUGAGGUGG